rnacentral:rRNA from 1 species
CAGCCGCCGCGGUAAUACGGAGGGCGCGAGCGUUACCCGGAUUUACUGGGCGUAAAGGGCGUGUAGGCGGCCUGGGGCGUCCCAUGUGAAAGGCCACGGCUCAACCGUGGAGGAGCGUGGGAUACGCUCAGGCUAGAGGGUGGGAGAGGGUGGUGGAAUUCCCGGAGUAGCGGUGAAAUGCGCAGAUACCGGGAGGAACGCCGAUGGCGAAGGCAGCCACCUGGUCCACUUCUGACGCUGAGGCGCGAAAGCGUGGGGAGCAAACCGGAUUAGAUACCCCGGUAGUCCCUGUCUCUUAUAC